rnacentral:rRNA from 1 species
GACGAACGCUGGCGGCGUGCCUAAUACAUGCAAGUUGAGCGCUGAAGGUUGGUACUUGUACCAACUGGAUGAGCAGCGAACGGGUGAGUAACGCGUGGGGAAUCUGCCUUUGAGCGGGGGACAACAUUUGGAAACGAAUGCUAAUACCGCAUAAAAACUUUAAACACAAGUUUUAAGUUUGAAAGAUGCAAUUGCAUCACUCAAAGAUGAUCCCGCGUUGUAUUAGCUAGUUGGUGAGGUAAAGGCUCACCAAGGCGAUGAUACAUAGCCGACCUGAGAGGGUGAUCGGCCACAUUGGGACUGAGACACGGCCCAAACUCCUACGGGAGGCAGCAGUAGGGAAUCUUCGGCAAUGGACGAAAGUCUGACCGAGCAACGCCGCGUGAGUGAAGAAGGUUUUCGGAUCGUAAAACUCUGUUGGUAGAGAAGAACGUUGGUGAGAGUGGAAAGCUCAUCAAGUGACGGUA